UCGAGAUUCGUAAGAGAGAAGGGAGCCGAAGAAGAGGCGACGAAUUCCGCGACCGUGUCGCUGCCGGGUGUCGCCGUCCGAGACCCGGAGACGAUGGAGUACAACAAGUCCUCGAUCAGGAGUGCCGCUCCCAGUAUACUCCAGCCGAGAGAUUCCAUCGUUUUCCUUCUCUUCUCCAUUUUGCUAUUCGAAAUAUUUUAGGUUUCAAAUGUUUGAUCUUGUGCUAGGUGAUUGCCGAUUUUGAUGGCAGGCACGCUCGCGACGUACUGGAUUUAUGGCCGCGGUGGUCAUAGUAGAUUACAUUUAAUUUCUUCCUCUCUUUUAUUCAGGGGAAAUGACGUUGGUUUCGGUUAGAUUCUUGGUUUGUUGUGGUUGGGUAGCCAUGGAUUGCUAUAGCAGGGGAAUGCUGCAGGAGGAAAAAACUAAGCUGAUGAAAGAAUGGAACGUAAAUAUACUUGCUUCAGAACAGUCCUGGUUUGGUUGCCGGUCCAUCUUUACGACACAGUUUUGUCCUAGGUCUAGAAAUUAUUGAACUGAUUUUUUUGUUUUCAUCUGUUGGCUAUUUUAGUUGUCCCAGAAUUGCUCGCCCCUACAAUUUUGGCCUGGAUUGAUCCUUUCCCUUUCCUACGCCAACAUUUCUUGGCUAUAAACACAUUUGUCAGCAGCAAAUACCCUUAGACAUCAUACUAUUAGAUGUCAUGUAACGUAAAAAGCAUGUAUUGGAUCUUCAUAUCCUGGCUACAAAUCUCUCAAGGUGCUGGGUUGUGUUAUGUUUGACCUGUUUACUAAAUUGAUCAGGUUUACAAUACCCAAGUCCUACAUUGAGCUGGAAUUGGAUUUAUAAAGCAUCGUAAGUACUUUUUAGGAGGCUUAGCUGACAUGGUUUUGGGCUUGGAUCCAACAAUAUGGUAUAGAGAUAAUCACAUAUUUUACAUUACAUGGCAUCCAAUUACUAUUGUGCUUAAAAUAUAUUCAUCAAGGAGGAGGAUCUUUAAUUUGUAGGAAUCUUGUCGAGGGCAGUUUCGAUGCUUGUCAACCCAUUCAAUAAUUUUUUGCACUAUCUACAGGUGGUAUUAGUUUGGAUUCUCACUUAUUACAAUUUGGUCAUUUAUAUCAACUUACCACUAUUUUUUUCAGGUAGUAGAAUAUUAAAAAUAUAUUGUUCUUUUAUUGACCUUAUAUGUAUUAAUAUGUGGCUACACCUACUUACAUGUUCCAAUGUGAAUGUCUAUCUUUAUGUAAUAGAUGUCUUCAGUGGAGUAGGUUAAUUAAAUAUGUUGAUUUAGAGGAGCCAUUACAGCAGACCUUUAUUACCAGCCAUUUCUCUGUACUCUGUGGUUAUUUUAAGACAACAAAACUCAUGAAAUAGAUGGAUUAAGUACAACUUAUUUUCUUUAUCCCACAUCUGAUCUUAAAUCUGUCUCCUGUAUAAUGUUGAUUAUAAAGAAGAUAGACAGGAUAUAAUCUUAUGGAUUAAAUUUGUCAAGUGGCCACACAUAAGAAUCUCAUAUGGUUGAGAUUGUCCCAAAAUUAUAUAGAUUCUGUGAGGUUCACUCGGUUUGUCCAGUUGAGGAGUAUGUGAGCUGGACACUAGUAAUAUAGAAUAAAUCAUGCUUGGAACUUUUUAAGAUAUGGUACAACUAGAUUACUUUUUGUAUUUUCUUUUAGGAUAUGAUAGGAUUAUAUUACCUUAUAUCAUAAUGUUCUUCCAAAAGAAAGAGAAAACAUUUGUUAUGUGAAUUCUGAUAGCCAUUCAAAGCAAUCUGAUAUCGUUUGUUGGAUGUUGCAUGCUGAUUUUAAAUUGUCUAAAAUAUUUGACCAUUGAUGAGAAUGUCUGAUAAGACAUGCGGAACGGUGACUUUUCAGAAAUUAUUCUGGAGGAAGGACGAAACUUUUUUAUCAUGCUCAAUGACAAAUCUGUUAUGUUAACUUGCUGUCCUAAAUAGGCUCUUGGAAUGAUCUUAGACCAUAUGAAUGUAAAAUAAUAACCCAGUUAUGUUGAUUGUUUAGUUCAAUUCUGUAUGUUCGAUUGUGCAGGCUCACUACUUGUGCACAUUUUUAUUUGAAGUUAUAUAACUAAAUCAUAUAUUAAUUUAUAAUGAUAUUAAAUCUUUGUACUAUUUGAUCUUUAUUAAUGGUUAAAACAAUUUAAUGGCUGCUUGAAUUUUUAACUUCUAGUUGUAAAUGUUUUAGCAUUAUGACAUAGUUGCUGAGUUGGUGUUUUCUUUUUCACCUAUCCUGAGACUAUUAACCUUGUAAUUUGUUUCUUGUACUUGUUGAAACUCGUGUAGUAGUAAAUCAAAUAAUAGAUUGCAAUUGUAUCAGUUUGGAUAGCCUGUAAAGAUCAGAACUUCUGUAGAUAGAUGAGCCAACUUGAUGUUUGUCCAUUGGUCCUACCCUGACUGAUCCAUGGACUUGGCCAUAAGACGAGCCAUGUUCUGCAUGGUUCAUAACUUCUAUAUGAGGCACUAUGGUUAAGAAGGUCUCCUGGAGAGGUCUCUAAAGGAUUUUUCCUCUGAGUUCCUUUAUUUCUUUGGUAGUUUGAUAUCAUGUUAUCUUGGGCUGUCUAGUUUGACAAACAGAUAUUAGCAUUAGGCCACGUCAAGGACUUUCAUUCUCCAAGACUUGAAGACCAUGUAUGAUAGAUCAUGGUCUUCUCAUUAAAAAAAAUUAUACUCUGAUGAUUGCUUAUAUUAUGUUAAAGAAAUUUAAUUACUGUAAAACUAAUAUAUUUACCACAGUUGAAACCGCCACAGAUUUGAGAUUAUGGGAUAAAUUUAUCUAUCCUCUGAGCCAUAGUCUAGGCAACUACAUCUCUGAAACUUUCAAAUCUUUGUAAAUCAACUAGUGUUGAUUAAUAUAGAAAUUUUCUCCUUAUAAGUCCUGAAUUAUGAGAACCUCGUUUUUCCAUACUAAGGUUUUAGAAGUCAGAAAAUUCCCUGAUUUGUUCGGCAGUUGCCAUCACUGAAGAGGUUGAAAAAAUUAGCCGCCUUCUGAUUUUGUUUUGUCCUACACAUGGCCCUUAUUGGGACAAAGUAAGCCCUAAUCACGGACAGUGCACCCAGAUUCCUUUGUUGAGACUGCCUUCCAUUUAUCCUGUUUAUUUUAAGGAAAAUGGGGAUCACUGCCCAACCACUGCCGUCAUCCUCCCUUAACCCAGAAGAAAGGAGAAGAUAGAGGAGAGAAAAACGAGAUCAUGAGGAAAGGCUGGAAGUGGAAAAGGAACUGAAAGGAGAGAUGAUAGAAAAGAUUCCAUAAUUAUUAUCUGCAAGGUAAAUUUAUGAUUAACUAGGGAAAAGUUGUCCAUUUCUAACUGGUUGGUAAAAAUUGACCUCCAUCAUUUUCUGGGACCUGCUUCUUAGUCCACAGUCCAAAAGUACUCAGACUUGUGUUGGGUGUUUAUUAGACUAGCUAAAUUAAUAGAACUUUUUUUUGCAUCAUGCAGGAAAGAAGUGUGCCUGUUCUUGUCCUUUCUGCUGGUAUUGCAGACAUCAUUAAAGAGGUUUUCAGGAAGAAACUUCAUAGAUCUUUUGAGAAUAUUAGGGUUGUUUCUAACAGAAUGGUGUUUUACGAAAAGGGUCAUCUUGUUGCUGAUAAAGUGAUCACAUGGAAGAAUGAGCCUCCUUCAGAUAUGGCUGCUCCUAUUCAUAACAGAUUCGAAGCUCCUAAUCGUCUAACCAUGGUAAUGUUGUGGUGAAGAAAAGAACUAAUGUGAUACUUCUCGGAGAUCAUAUCACAGACCUGGUCACGGUAGCUGUUCGAUUUCUCAUAGGUUGAAGUUGUCUUCUAUGGGACUGAGGCAUGGUUGAAGAAGACAUGAAUCCAUGGCCAUGCUUGCAACAAUGGGAGACCCACGAGGUCAGGAGAACAAUGAGGUUGAAGAGAGUGUCGAUGGAGCUGAUGGUGUCAAAUAUGUGUUGAACAAGGAACAAGAAGCACAGGUUUUUUUUUCCCAUUCAUGCAUGCAAUUACAUAGGACAAGGCUUCAUGGAAUGUGUAGUGAGUGUUAUUGUUCGUUCACAUGCCACAAUCUGUAGUUAACAAAAGACUGCAUUUUUAUAUUCUGAUACUGCUGUUUCAUUUAGCUUCUAGCGCUCAACUCUUGUGCAAGUAAGUGUUGAGUUGGACCAGACAUAUAUGGUGCAUUAGAGUGCAGGAAGUCGAUGAAUCCAAACUUUGAGGUCCCCAGAUAUCUCAGCUUGAUCCAAGAGGAUCAGAGGUCCCGUCCCUUCUUCCUGCCUGCCGCUGGCCCUUUGCAAAACCCUAAAGCCCUGACAAAGUUCUCAUCGAGGUUUGCCCCCACACAUAGAUGCGGAGUGAAUCCUGUGGACAACCAACAUUAUUUACCUCUCUUCCACCGCCCUUCACUCUUACCUUUCGUGCCAUGUGCACCUUUCUGCCGCCCGUGUUGCUGGUGGUGGCAGCUCUUGCACUCGAAAUGCAAACAAAGCAGCAAGAGAGAUGGUGACAGUGCAACUUUAAGGACGAAGAGUCGUGUGAUUUCAAAAGGUACACUUCUCUCUCUCUCUCUCUCUCUCUCUCUGAGGGCCACAAGUUCAUCUGCCAAUCUGCCAAUCUUAUCGAGAGAUCGUGAAAAGUUCAUAGCUUUACUGACUGUACAAAUCAUGGACGUUAAAUCUCUUGCUCAAGCACAUGCCUAGUUAGCAAGCAUACUGCAUCCCUUUCAGCGUGCUCCCAGUCCAUCCAUCCAUUCGAGCACUUGCCAUUUGCACGAUUGUGUCCUCAAGUUCGAUCAAACAUCACUUGUCUAUGGUGGUGUGUGGCUUCGUGACCGUGUCAGUGAGGAGGGUGAGGUUGAUCCAUGAAUUGAUGUCUCAGGAUUUGGACAAAUGCAGUGCAGGCACCACAGUAUUGGCCUCUUCCAACCCUUUCAAUGGUCAUCGGCAACCUUACCCGAUGGAAAGAGACACAGCUUCCGCCCUCUAUCUUCCCUGUCUUUUUUGUCUUGAUACCAAGCAGUCCGUGGAGAGGAAGCAACAGGCGUACAGACAGCAUACAUGCAUGUAUGUGUUUGCACCUACGUGCGGAGCAUGCAUGCACCCGAUCGAUGAGCAAUUUGGCUACAUCUAUGUUUUGAGAUCAGAUCGAUUAUGCUUCAUCGGCUCGACUAAUUAGGUCAACCACAUCCAUGAAUAUUGUUCAUGUUGUUUUCUUUACAUAAAAUGAAGGAAGAAGAAGAAAAAAAUAACUUUGACGAUGAUGGUGGUGAUUGAGAUUCAAUGGUGGUUCCAAUCAACCAUU